rnacentral:rRNA from 1 species
AUUGAACGCUGGCGGCAGGCUUAACACAUGCAAGUCGAGCGAGCGGCGGAAGGGUGAGUAAUGUCUGGGAAACUGCCUGAUGGAGGGGGAUAACUACUGGAAACGGUAGCUAAUACCGCAUAACAUCAGAUGUGCCCAGAGGGGCUUAGCUAGGAGGUGGGGUAAUGGCUCCCCUAGGCGACGAUCCCUAGCUGGUCUGAGAGGAUGACCAGCCACAGGGUACGUGAGACACGGUCCAGACUCCUACGGGGGCGAACAGUGGUUAAUAUUGCACAAUGGGCGCAAGCCUGAUGCAGUCAUGCCGCGUGUGUGAAUAAGGCCUUCGGGUUGUAAAGCACUUACAGCGAGGAGGCGUUACUCGCAGAAGAAGCACCGGCUAACGCCGUGCCAGCAGCCGCGGUAAUAC